rnacentral:rRNA from 1 species
AGGGAACUGAAACAUCUAAGUACCUGGAGGAAAAGAAAUCAGACAGAGAUUCCCCUAGUAGUGGCGAGCGAACGGGGAGCAGCCUAAACCGGUCGAGGAAACUCGGCCGGGGUCGUGGGGGCUGGCGAUAUGGGACUCUGAAGGAUAGUGAACGGCAUGGAAUGGCCGGCCAUAGACGGUGACAGCCCGGUAAGCGAAAUCUGGAGGGGCCCUAGCCGGUACCCGAGUACCGCAGGACACGUGCAAUCCGGCGGGAAUCUGGGAGGACCAUCUCCCAAGGCUAAAUACUCCUCACUGACCGAUAGUGAACUAGUACCGCGAGGGAAAGGCGAAAAGAACCCUGGCGAAGGGAGUGAAAUAGAACCUGAAACCGUGUGCCUACAAGCAGUGAGAGCGCAAUGUCGCAAGACAGGCGUGAUCGCGUACCUUUUGCAUAAUGGGCCUGCGAGUUACCGUACGUUGCAAGGUUAAGCCGAGAGGUGGA